rnacentral:rRNA from 1 species
UGGGGAAUUUUGGACAAUGGGCGAAAGCCUGAUCCAGCAAUGCCGCGUGUGUGAAGAAGGCCUUCGGGUUGUAAAGCACUUUUGUCCGGAAAGAAAUCCUUGGCUCUAAUACAGUCGGGGGAUGACGGUACCGGAAGAAUAAGCACCGGCUAACUACGUGCCAGCAGCCGCGGUAAUACGUAGGGUGCAAGCGUUAAUCGGAAUUACUGGGCGUAAAGCGUGCGCAGGCGGUUUGCUAAGACCGAUGUGAAAUCCCCGGGCUCAACCUGGGAACUGCAUUGGUGGCUGGCAGGCUAGAGUAUGGCAGAGGGGGGUAGAAUUCCACGUGUAGCAGUGAAAUGCGUAGAGAUGUGGAGGAAUACCGAUGGCGAAGGCAGCCCCCUGGGCCAAUACUGACGCUCAUGCACGAAAGCGUGGGGAGCAAACAGGAUUAGAUACCCUGGUAGUCCACGCCCUAAACGAUGUCAACUAGUUGUUGGGAUUCAUUUCCUUAGUAACGUAGCUAACGCGUGAAGUUGACCGCCUGGGGAGUACGGUCGCAAGAUUAAAACUCAAAUGAUUG